rnacentral:tRNA from 1 species
AUUUCGUUAGUUUAUUUAUAAAAUGUAGCUCUGAAGAAGUUAAGAAAUUACGAAGUGG